rnacentral:rRNA from 1 species
GAUGGACGCUGGCGGCGUGCCUAAUACAUGCAAGUCGAACGAAACUUCUUUAUCACCGAGUGCUUGCACUCACCGAUAAAGAGUUGAGUGGCGAACGGGUGAGUAACACGUGGGCAACCUGCCCAAAAGAGGGGGAUAACACUUGGAAACAGGUGCUAAUACCGCAUAACCAUAGUUACCGCAUGGUAACUAUGUAAAAGGUGGCUAUACUACCGCUUUUGGAUGGGCCCGCGGCGCAUUAGCUAGUUGGUAGGGUAAAGGCUUACCAAGGCAAUGAUGCGUAGCCGAAUUGAGAGGUUGAUCGGCCACAUUGGGACUGAGACACGGCCCCAACUCCUACGGGAGGCCGCAGUAGGGAAUCUUACGCAAUGGGCGAAAGCCUGAUGGAGCAAAGCCGCGUGGGUGAAGAAGGUCUUCGGAUCGUAAAACCCUGUUGUUAGAGAAGAAAGUGCGUGAGAGUAACUGUUCACGUUUCGACGGUAUCUAACCAGAAAGCCACUGCUAACUACGUG